rnacentral:rRNA from 1 species
ACAGAGGGUACGAGCGUUGUCCGGAAUCACUGGGCGUAAAGGGCGCGUAGGCGGGCAUUCAAGUCGGUGGUGAAAUCCUCCAGCUUAACUGGAGAAGAGCUGUCGAUACUGGAUGUCUCGAGGGGUGCAGGGGUCUGCGGAACUUCGGGUGGAGCGGUGAAAUGCGUAGAGAUCCGAAGGAACGCCGGUGGCGAAAGCGGCGGACUGGGCACCUUCUGACGCUGAGGCGCGAAAGCCAGGGGAGCAAACGGGA